rnacentral:lncRNA from 1 species
UGAAAAAUCAAUGAAGCCUUAGGUCUUUUAAAAAUUUAAUUUAUUGUUACACUUUAGAUAUACAUAAUGAUCACAUUCAUCAUAGGAAAUAUGUAGCUGUACGUAAUGUAUUCUGAUUCUUCUUUCUUUCCCUUUUCCCCUUCCCUCCCUACUUUCAGUUUUGCAGUCACAAUGUGGCUUUGAUCUUUGAUCUGAAAUCUUUUCCCACCCAAGAAUCUUUCUAAUUACAUAGCAGUGAUUGGAGAUAUCCUUAUUUUCAAAGCUAGUAAAACCUGGCUGUAAUAUUUUUUUUCUAAAUUUUUUCUCAAAGGCAAAACAAGUCCUGCCCAGACAACAGCUGUGCAGGUGCACAUGCCCCAGCCAAGACCAAACCCAGACACCAGUGGAUUGGGCACAGAGGUCCCAGACAGAAGCCUGCCCAGAUACCACAGAUAAAGAUACUUCCAGUGGUGUGAAAGCAGUUGCAGCUCCAAACCUAACUUGGAUACUACAUGUAAAGAGUCCUGAUAAAUCUCAUAACUCUUCAAGAACAGCAAGGUUAAAUUCAAAACUGAUUUGUUUAGGCGCUC